GUCCACGCCCUAAACGAUGUCAACUAGGUGUUGGGGAAGGUGACUUCCUUAGUACCGCAGCUAACGCGUGAAGUUGACCGCCUGGGGAGUACGGCCGCAAGGUUAAAACUCAAAGGAAUUGACGGGGACCCGCACAAGCGGUGGAUGAUGUGGAUUAAUUCGAUGCAACGCGAAAAACCUUACCUACCCUUGACAUGCCUGGAACUUCGCUGAGAGGUGGAGGUGCCCGAAAGGGAGCCAGGACACAGGUGCUGCAUGGCUGUCGU
rnacentral:rRNA from 1 species